GUGCUUGCUUCACCAACACAUACAAUAAAAUUGGAACAAUGUGGAGAAGAUUAGCAUGGCCCUGUACAAGGAUGACAUAAAAAUUUGUGAAACAUUUCAUUAAAAA
ensembl:snRNA U6 U6 spliceosomal RNA